GUCCUCAAACCAGAAGUCAGCAAAUGUCUUCUGCACAGAGACAGACAAGGCUUUCUAGCCCCGUUGGCCAUAUGAUCGGAGAGCUUCUCUCUCCUCCAGGUUUUACCUGCUCAAACUUGUAAAUACAAUCCCCUAAGAUGCUCAUCAUCCUGGAACAGGACUCGGAACUGAAACAGUUGGAACGAAGGCUGCUUUACAUACAUUAUCUCUCUGACCUCACCAGCUCUCAGAAAAAUCUUAAAAGAAAUUUCAGAGCAGCUUAGCAUUCUUAAGGAUCAUCUUGAUUCUUCGGCUAUUACGAAGCUCCUCCUGGAUCAAUCACAGCUGUCACCAGGUCUAUAUUAAGACAAUGGUUACACUGGCUACGUCCCCUACGAGGCUCACCUAAUCUUCAGUCCCCUCUUACUACCGUCCCCUGUCUCUAGCUGGCCAUUUUAAAAUGAAGUACACGAUGGCAAUAGAAGAUCCACAGCAGCCAAUGAAGUAAAAACUCUCUUCCUGUAUAUGAAAAUAAUUCGACCUGUGAUGACCCCAUAGAUCCUGGGGACAGAGCCUCCUCUCCCCAACCCUCUUCAUUACCCCCCCCCCCCAUUUCCCCGGCAGGAAGCAACCAAUAGGAUAAUGUAUCGCCUCUCCCCCACAUUUCUGCUUACCUCCCUUCCUGGUAUGAAACGACAAACUGAGAAGUUUUGGACGGGAAAGUUGACUUCACUGUAACACCUACCUGUGCGUUCUACACCAAAAGUUCUACACCACUUUGAGUGGUGUGCACCACUCUGAGACUGCAGAGGACCAGACCUGCAGAUGAAACUUCUACCACCAAAGUCCCCUAUCUAUCCCAUAAAAUCAUCAAUCCCCCAUGCCGCGUGAGUGCAGUCUGUACUCCAGCAGAGAGACUGUGGCCCUUCAGUUGUUUUGAAAAAUUCUAUUUCCGAGGGAGAAAAUAAAAAGGAAUGUUACAUACUGAUUUGAACUCA